rnacentral:lncRNA from 1 species
CGGGGACUGACACAACUUCGAGCACAUUGGAAUGGGCAAUGGCAGAUGUGGGGACCCCUCCCUCCGAGAACAUGUGGCACGCAUUUUGCAGUGACACGUGACACGCAUCUUACAGUGAUACAUGACACUAAUUGUCAUCCGAAUCACCCUUAUCCGGAUCUUCCUAUAAAGCACACAUGACACGCUUUUCCGAACUACCUCAAGGAAGAUUAAACGACAUUUAUAAACGUAUCAUCCGGACGGCUUACACAAUACAUCCGGAUGAUCAACAUAUGCAAUCCGGAUACAAUGGUCCGAAUUAUUGACUGAAGUAAGCAAGUCUCACACGUUACCACAACAGCCUGUCAUGGCUCACGUUCCGCCACCUGCAGGGUGAGAGGACAGGAUGAAGUGACAACAAGUCACUUCCUACGAUCAUUCCACAUGAUCACUUCCCACGAUCUCUGACAGCCGCAUCACCUGCCACGAUCCCUGUCAGCCGCCCGUAGGGUGAUGAUGGUCAUGCUGCCAUCUAAUGUCAUCAUGACAACAUAAAAUAUCUCCCCACCAUUAAUGAGAAGAACAGUGCUCCUGAAACUAUAUAUAUCAACCUUCACACAAAGAGGAAGGUAAACUGAGUAUACCUAAUAAAAGGCCAACUGAUUUAUCUCUCUCCCAAACCAUGGCUAACAAAACCAUCGGAGGGUGCAUCCGGAUGCCCUUUUUGCAGGUACAACGACUGAAUCAAGAACCUAUUUUGGUUGAGGUCGCGCAUCCAUCCAUUUGACAACUACGUGGAACACCAGGAGCGCGAGGUAUCAACAGCAGAGCUGCUAUACAACCCUGAAAAACUUUUGAAAGCCCGAAUGGAACUCCUGCAAACCAUCGGCCAAGACAAACAGGUUAAAGAAUCAGACAUCACUCGACUCCCUUACGUGCAAGCGGUGGUGAAAGAAACCUUCCGAUUGCACCCAGCAGUUCCAUUUUUACUCCCACGCAGAGUUGAAGAGGACACAGAUAUACAAGGGUUCACAGUCCCAAAGAACGCACAGGUGCUGGUGAACGCAUGGGCUAUAGGUCGAGACCCGAACACAUGGGAGAACCCCAACUCAUUUGUGCCAGAGAGGUUCUUGGGGUUGGACAUGGACGUGAAGGGCCAGAAUUUUGAGCUGAUUCCGUUUGGUGCUGGCAGGAGAAUCUGUCCUGGGCUGCCAUUGGCAAUCCGGAUGGUUCACUUGAUGCUGGCCUCGCUCAUUCACUCCUAUGAUUGGAAACUUGAAGAUGGGGUGACACCGGAAAACAUGAACAUGGAAGAAAGUUUUGGACUUUCCUUACAGAAGGCUCAGCCCCUGCAAGCUCUACCUGUACGGGUUUGAAGUUGUUGAUCUUGUGUGCUGAAGUAAUGUCCUGAUUCUUUCAGUGCUCUCCUGGGUUUCAGGCUGUGUUGUCAUUAACUAGACAUGUCAGUCCAGUUCGUGUUAAAUAAACAAGUAAAUCUUUCAAAUUUCCAAUCUAAAUGGCUAUCAAAUAUGCAUGCUUCCAUUCAUAGCAGCAGAGGUUAUCUUUAUAUUUUUCAAUUGAAGUGUCAAUCUUCGUUCAUAAAUGUUUGUUCCUCGUAUGGAGAAUGCCAAUGAAAAAACAAAUUCCGUGCUCUCUAAAAAGAAACUCUCCAUCUACUCUCAUAUCUCUUCACUUUCAGAGCUUCUAUUAUGAUCGGUUGGACAGAAGGUUGAACCUUUGGUUUUUUUUUCUUUUUUUCUUUUUUGUUAACAGAGACUUGAGGCUGCCCAAGUGGAGGGAGGAGAGAGAGGCUCUCUAGUAAUUUUCAAAUCAAAUAAAAAAUCAAUUUUAAAUAAUUAUUUUCAAAUCAAAACCAAAUAUCAAAAAAUAAAAACCAAAAAGUGAACCCAUGUCAGCCAGGGUUCACAAUGAAUCUAAGAAAUUUUAAAACAAGCAGCAUGAAGCUCAAAAAUCAACUCAAUUACUAUCAACAUUUAUUAAGGUUGAAAAACACACAAUUAUAUUUUUUCGAAAUUUCGCUUUAUGUUAAUAAACUUUAAAUCAAAUAAUGUUUGAUGUGUUGAAUUCUAUUUUUAAACUAAAAAAUUAAACCAAUUAAUAGUAGAAUUUGCAGUAUUAUAAAUUAUAAUUGACUCAUUCUCUUAUGACAUACAAAUGGGUCAUACUAGACUUCAACCAUUCAUGGAUGGGCUGGUAGGCUCGGGCCACCCUAAGUUAAGCCUCGGUUAGGGCUAAGACAUUUGAAAAUAAAAAUAAUAUAAAAGUAGGUUUGAUGGUUUGUAUAUCAAAUUUUCAAUCCAUGUCUAGUAUUUUUCCCGUAUAUCAAGUAUAAUAUUUAUAAUUUUUCAUUUUAAUCCUCUGGUCUCACUUGGCCCAGCCAUGGGUCGGUAUUUGGCUUAAAAUUUUCAAAAUGGAAGUGGAAGUGAAUGGAAUUUUUUCUGUAAAUUUUUAAAAUAAAAAAUUAAAGUGAUAAAUAUAUUUAAAAAAUAAAAAUAAAAUAAUAUAAAUUAAAAGUAAAAAACUUUAGUGCCAAUUGGAGUGUAGUGUGUUAACUACAAAAAUUAUUGAAAAAAACUAAGUUUUGACACAAAAUUUUGAAAAAGAAAAAAGAAUUUUUUUUUAGAAAAUCAUUAAAAUUUUAUAUAUUUUAAUUAAAUAUAAAUAAUAUCUAAACAUAUAUAACAUAAUGAAUAUUUUUAAAUUACGGAUUAAAAUAUAAAAAAAUAGUAAAAACUAAACUAAUCAUAACUGAAAAAAUUAUUAGUCCACGAUUUAAUAUUCGAACUACAGUUGAUCCAGUAAUAUAAUAAAUUUAUAAUUUAUAUAUUAUUAAAAUUAAAAAUAAUUAUAAAAUUUUUAAAUAUAUAUAUAAAUAAAUUAAAAAUGAAUAAUAUUUAUUUUUAAUAUUUUAUAUUAUCAAAAUAAAUCAUGUAUAAGUAUAAAAGUAUUAAUAUUUUAAAUUUUAUUAAAUGAAAUAUGUAUAUUAAUAUUUAAAUGUGAAUAUAUUGAAAAAAAAAAAGAAAAAAAAAUUCAUUUGUUUAAUUUUAAAUAAAUUUCUAAUUUUAAAAAUAUUAUAUGGUUUUUAUUUAAUAUUAUAAAGUUUUUUAGAAAAUAAUAUUUUUUUUUAUUUGCUAUAUUAGCCAUUAAAAAGUGUGUAGCUGAGGGGUACCCAUGUCAUCUCCUGAUCUCCGGUUCAAAUCCUUGCAGGUGGGAAUUUUUUUUUUUUCUUUGUUCUCUGGCACUGUUCGGCUUGCUCGCGUUAGCAAUGAGUGAAUGACUAAAAUCCAUACAUUCAUCCAUCAAAGAUAGCAAAGAACCACACAAAGUCUAGCACGUCUCCACUAAUAAGUACAGCAUGAAAGACAAAAAAAAAGACAAUAAAUCAACACAUCAUCUAUGGAAACAAAUACAUGCGUAACGUUUAAGUUACUAUCAUUCAAAAUAUUUUUCUUUUUGUUUUUUUUUUUAAAAAGAGUCAAAUUAGUAGGAGAUGUUUUGCUUUUUUCUGUUUAAAGAAAGGAAAGUCGAGCAAUAGUUAGACUUUGGACAUGAAACUUUUAUACAAAAUUCACUGAAUCAACCGAUUUUACAGUAUAGACAAUUAAAAAUUUAAAAGGAUCGAUUGAGACGCCCUCUUUUAGACGACAAAAAAGAUAUUAUAUGAAGUGCAGGAUAGGGGGACUAUAAUGUCUUCGUGUUGUAGUGGGCAUAUAGGCGGCUAUCUCCAAAGUAGACUAGCAAAAGAAAGUGAGACUUGGUCUUCUUGGGCACAAUUUGGUUUUGGAAAGCGAGUCGUUGUUUGGCUUCCUUCAUUUUUCUUUUCUUUGAUCAUUUACUUUGAGUAUUGGGUCUUCAUCUUGCGGGUUAUUAAGCUCGCGCGUCCUUUGGAGGUGACAGGUGAAAGCGUUAGAAUGACCUAGUAGGGCUUGGUCCGCCGUUUGGAUACCUUUAAUUUCCUUCCACUCUAUUUUGAAGCUCUUCUGUUGAACAUUUAGGGGCAUUUUCAGGUUCUUUCCCUCGUGGAUUUUUGGGUGAUUCUGCUGGAGAUGGAGAUGAAUAUGGAGACGGCUCGCCCAGAGUUGGAAUGGAGGAGCAAAAGGACUCGGACCUAGGUUCGUUUGCACACCAACCACGGUUUCGUUUUCGUUUGCAAAAUAUCUCUCUCAAGUGGGCAUCGCAAGUGGUAAAAGAAAAUGGUAUUUCUCUUACAAAAUAUCACUGUCGUAUAUUGUUGUUUCUUCUAUCACUUGAUAAGAUGCGAUGGAAAAUUGACUUGUCUGAACUGAUAAUAUCAGCACUUCUAGCAAUUGGCACCGGUCAAAAGUUGAUAGAUAGUAGGAAAGUAGAAUAUUCCUUAAUUAAUUAUGGGUAUUUCUUUGUUUUGAAAAUGAAUUGUGCAAAAGAUACAUAAAAAAUGAAAAAAGAAUCUUCUUUAUUAAUUUUAUGAAAACAUUGAUAAGUAACUGAUUACUUAAAUAACUCCAUUUGAAAAUAAAUUGGGUUUCUCCAUUUUUUUUUUCCCGGUUUUAACAGGUGUGUAUUCAUAGUAACAAAGAAAUUCCUGCCCGUUGGUAUAUAGAGGCUGAGAAAUCAAAACGUAAAGGUUGAGAGAUACUGCUUGUUGGGAACCAGAGAGAAAGAGGAAGAGAGACAUGGAGUUGUUGAGUUGUCUGCUGUGUUUUCUUGCUGCUUGGACUUCAAUUUACAUCAUGUUUUCAGCCAGAAGAGGAAGAAAGCAUGCUGCUCACAAACUUCCUCCAGGACCAGUUCCGCUUCCCAUAAUAGGAAGCCUCUUAAACCUGGGUAACAGACCCCAUGAGUCCCUCGCCAAUCUUGCAAAAACUUACGGCCCAAUUAUGACUCUCAAACUUGGCUAUGUAACCACAAUAGUCAUCUCUUCUGCCCCCAUGGCCAAAGAAGUCCUCCAAAAGCAGGAUCUCUCCUUCUGCAACCGAUCCAUCCCUGAUGCCAUCCGAGCCGCAAAACACAACCAACUGUCGAUGGCCUGGCUACCUGUUUCAACAACUUGGAGAGCCCUUCGAAGGACAUGCAAUUCGCACUUAUUCACUCCUCAAAAACUAGACUCUAACACCCAUCUCCGCCACCAGAAAGUGCAAGAGCUUCUUGCGAAUGUUGAACAGAGCUGCCAAGCUGGUGGUCCUGUAGAUAUAGGCCAAGAAGCUUUUAGAACUAGUCUCAACUUGUUAUCCAACACCAUAUUUUCUGUGGAUCUUGUUGAUCCAAUUUCUGAGACUGCACAAGAGUUUAAAGAGUUGGUGCGUGGUGUGAUGGAGGAAGCUGGGAAACCCAACUUGGUAGAUUAUUUUCCGGUGCUCAGACGGAUUGAUCCACAAAGUAUAAGGCGUCGUUUGACAAUUUAUUUUGGAAGGAUGAUUGAGAUCUUUGAUAGAAUGAUCAAGCAACGGUUACAGCUAAGAAAAAAUCAAGGUUCAAUAGCUAGCAGUGAUGUGUUAGACGUUCUUCUCAACAUCAGUGAAGAUAACAGCAGUGAGAUUGAAAGAAGUCAUAUGGAACAUUUGUUAUUGGUUAGUAUCUUCUAUCUCCAUUUAAAAUUUCUUUCUUCUUCCUUGCUUCAUAUUCCCGCUAUGAAUUUGGUUUGGUUUUUAAUGAUUCAAAUAGCAGUUGGCCAAAUAAACAUUAUAUUCAGGCCUAUUAAGACAUCCAGAGACUAUGUUACAGGACUUAUUUGCUGCGGGGACUGACACAACUUCGAGCACAUUGGAAUGGGCAAUGGCAGAGCUGCUACACAACCCUGAAACACUUUUGAAAGCCCGAAUGGAACUCCUGCAAACCAUCGGCCAAGACAAACAGGUAAAAGAAUCAGACAUCAGUCGACUCCCAUACUUGCAAGCAGUGGUGAAAGAGACCUUCCGAUUGCACCCAGCAGUUCCAUUUUUACUCCCACGCAGAGUUGAAGGGGACGCAGAUAUAGAUGGGUUCGCAGUCCCAAAGAACGCACAGGUGCUGGUGAACGCAUGGGCUAUAGGUCGAGACCCGAACACAUGGGAGAACCCCAACUCAUUUGUGCCAGAGAGGUUCUUGGGGUUGGACAUGGACGUGAAGGGCCAGAAUUUUGAGCUGAUUCCGUUUGGUGCUGGCAGGAGAAUCUGUCCUGGGCUGCCAUUGGCAAUCCGGAUGGUUCACUUGAUGCUGGCCUCGCUCAUUCACUCCUAUGAUUGGAAACUUGAAGAUGGGGUGACACCGGAAAACAUGAACAUGGAAGAAAGAUAUGGCAUUAGUUUACAAAAGGCUCAGCCCCUGCAAGCUCUACCUGUACGGGUUUGAAGUUGUUGAUUUUGUGUGCUGAAGUAAUGUGCUGAUUCUUGGUGUGCUCUGCUGUGUUAUCAUUAACUAGAAAUGUCAGUCCAGUUCUGUCAUAGUGUUAAAUAAACUCGGAAGUCUUUCUAAUUUCCACUUAAAUGGCUAUCAAAUAUGCAUGCAUCCAUGCAUAGCAGCAUAGGUUAUCUUUGUAUUUUUCAAUUGAAGUGUCAAUCAACGUUCAUAAAUAUUUGUUCCAACACAGAGAACGCCCGAUGUCAAUGAAAGGACAAAUGAAAUAUUUGAUCAAAAGAGAUGAAAUAAUUUUUAAAUUGCGGAUAUGAUCAUUUUAUUUUUAUUUUUUAUUUUUUUUAAAGUAACUUAUUUUUUAUAUAAAUAUUUUUUAUUAUUUAUAAAUUUUCAAACAAAAUAUUAUUUUUACUAUAAAAUAUCAAGACAUUUUAGUUAAAAUGAGAUAUAAAAAAAAACGCAUCGUUAAUUUCAAACUUCGAAUUUUUAACACUUUUAAUCACAUAACCCAAAGCAAAUUCCAUACUCUCUAACAAAGAAACUCUCUUAUCUCGUAACUUUGAGAGCUUCUAUUAGGAUCGGUUGAACAGAGAGUUAGAGACUUGAGGCUGCCAAGUGGAGGGAGGAGAGAGAGGCUCUUUAGUAAUUUUCUAAUCAAAUAAAAAUUCAAUUUUAUUUUAAUUUUAAAUGUUUAAUUUCAAAUAGAAAAUAUUUUUGUUGAGAAAAUAAUAAAAAUUUUAUUAUUUUAAUUAAAGAUAAAUAAUAACUAAACAUAUAUAACAUAAUAAAUAUUUUGAAAUUAUGAAUUAAAGAUAGUUGUCGUUUUGCACAUGUUUCACUUGAAUUCAAGUGAGAAUCCAUUUCCCGAAAAAAUUCUUCUUUCUCUGGCAUCCAACGGCUAGCUCGCUUCUAUUCUUCCCAAAAUAUUUUCUUCUUUCUCUGACAUAUAUCAUAUACUGUUCCCAAAAUUUUCUUGCUCUGUACGGCUUGCUCCAACCAAAUAAAGUCUAACACGUCUCCAGUAAUAAAUUCAUUCAAAAGAUUUCAUUAUUUUCUCAAAAAGCAAUCAAAUUAGUCGGAGAUGUUUUCCUUUUUUCUGUUUAACAAAGCAAAAUCACGUGAUAGUUAGACUUUAGACAUGAAACUUUGAUACAAAAUUCAUUGAAUCAACCGAUUUAACAGUAAGGCGAUUAAAACGUUUGAGCCGCCCACUUUUGGAAGACAGAAAAAAAAAUUAUUAUAUAAGUUUCAGCAAUGGGGCUGGGAUCGGAUGCCCCUCUGCUGGUCUCGGCGGUAUCCGGUACUUUAUCUUUCUCUAUUUUUUUUUUCCUAUAUAAUUUGGUUUUAGAAAGGGAGUUGUUGCUUCCUGCUUUGUGUUAUUGUUUGAUCAUUUACUUUUGCGUAUUGGGUCUUCAUCUUGCUUGUUAUUGAGCACGUCCUUGGGAUCGAGGUGACAGGUGAGAACUUUAGAAUGAACUCGUCGGGCUUGGUCCGCUAUUUGGAUACCUUUAAUUUCCUUCCACUCUAUUCGAAUGCUCUUCUGCUGAUCAUUUAGUGGCAUUUUCAGGUUCUUUCCCUCGUAGAUUUUUGGGUGAUUCUGCUGGAGAUGGAGACGGUUCACUCGGAGUUGGAAUGGAGGAACAAAAGGACUCGGACCUAGGUUCGUUUGCACACCAACCACGGUUUCGUUUUGGGUUACAAUUUACAAAAUAUCUUUCUCUUUCAAGUGGGAAUUGCCAGUGGUAAAAGAAAAUGAGUAUUGCUUUCUAAUGGGUACAAUGCAAGGCCUUUUUAUCUUCUAUCACUCGCGUAUAUGGUUGUUUCUGUCACUUGAGAAGAUGCAAUGGAAAAUUGACUAGUAUGAACUGAUAAUACCAGCACUAAUAGCAAUGAUCACCGGUCAAGUUAAUUAGUAGAUAGUAAGAGAGAAAGUAGAAUUUUACUUAAUUAAUGGGUAUUUCUUUGUUUUCAAAUGAUCAGUUGUGCAAAAGAUACAUAGAAAAUGAAAAAUGAAUCUUCUUAAUUAAUCUUAUGAAAGCAUUGAUAAACAACUGAUUAGUUAAAUAACUCAAUCCGAAUAUAAAUUGGGUUUCUCUUUUUCUUUUUUUUUCGGGGUUUUAACAGGUAUGUGUUCGUAGUAACAAAGAAAAUUCUUGCCCGUUGGUAUAUAGAAGUCAAGAAAUCAAAACGUAAAAGUUGAGAGAUACUGCUUGUUGGGGACCACAGCGAAAGAGGAAGAGAGAUAUGGAGUUGUUGAGUUGUCUGCUGUGUUUUCUUGCUGCUUGGACUUCAAUUUACAUCAUGUUUUCAGCCAGAAGAGGAAGCAAACAUACUGCUUACAAACUUCCUCCGGGACCAGUUCCGCUUCCCAUAAUAGGAAACCUCUUAAACCUGGGUAACAGGCCCCAUGAGUCCCUCGCCAACCUUGCAAAAACUUACGGCCCAAUUAUGACUCUCAAACUUGGCUAUGUAACCACAAUAGUCAUCUCUUCUGCCCCCAUGGCCAAAGAAGUCCUCCAAAAGCAGGAUCUCUCCUUCUGCAACCGAUCAAUCCCUGAUGCCAUCCGAGCCGCAAAACACAACCAACUGUCGAUGGCCUGGCUACCUGUUUCAACAACUUGGAGAGCCCUUCGAAGGACAUGCAAUUCGCACUUAUUCACUUCUCAAAAACUAGACUCUAACACCCAUCUCCGCCACCAGAAAGUGCAAGAGCUUCUUGCGAAUGUUGAACAGAGCUGCCAAGCUGGUGGUCCUGUAGAUAUAGGCCGAGAAGCUUUUAGAACUAGUCUCAACUUGUUAUCCAACGCCAUAUUUUCUGUGGAUCUUGUUGAUCCAAUUUCUGAGACUGCACAAGAGUUUAAAGAGUUGGUGCGUGGUGUGAUGGAGGAAGCUGGGAAACCCAACUUGGUAGAUUAUUUUCCGGUGCUCAGACGGAUUGAUCCACAAGGUAUAAGGCGUCGUUUGACAGUUUAUUUUGGAAGGAUGAUUGAGAUCUUUGAUAGAAUGAUCAAGCAACGGUUACAGCUAAGAAAAAUUCAAGGUUCAAUAGCUAGCAGUGAUGUGUUAGACGUUCUUCUCAACAUAAGUGAAGAUAACAGCAAUGAGAUUGAAAGAAGUCAUAUGGAACAUUUGUUAUUGGUUAGUAUCUUCUAUCUCCAUUUAAAAUUUCUUUCUUCUUCCUUGCUUCAUAUUCCCGCUAUGAAUUUGGUUUGGUUUUUAAUGAUUCAAAUAGCAGUUGGCCAAAUAAACAUUAUAUUCAGGUCUAUUAAGGCACCCAGAGAUUAUGUUACAGGACUUAUUUGUUGCGGGGACUGACACAACUUCGAGAACAUUGGAAUGGGCAAUAGCAGAGCUGCUACACAACCCUGAAAAACUUUUGAAAUCCCGAAUGGAACUCCUGCAAACCAUCGGCCAAGACAAACAGGUUAAAGAAUCAGACAUCACUCGACUCCCUUACGUGCAAGCGGUGGUGAAAGAAACCUUCCGAUUGCACCCAGCAGUUCCAUUUUUACUCCCACGCAGAGUUGAAGAGGACACAGAUAUAGAAGGGUUCACAGUCCCAAAGAAUGCACAGGUGCUGGUGAACGCAUGGGCUAUAGGUCGAGACCCGAACACAUGGGAGAACCCCA